GGUUGUGGCUCAGUGGUAGAGCUCUCGCCUAGCACGUGCAUGCGAGGCUCUGGGUUUGAGCCCCAGCACCA
rnacentral:tRNA from 1 species